GAUGAACGCUGGCGGCGUGCCUAAUACAUGCAAGUCGAACGCAUUGUGGUUGAAAUGAUAUGAAGAACUUGUUCAGAUUUGAUUUUCAACAUUGCAAUGAGUGGCGAACGGGUGAGUAACACGUGGGAAACCUACCUCUUAGCAGGGGAUAACAUUUGGAAACAAAUGCUAAUACCGUAUAAUAAUUAAAACCGCAUGGUUUUAGUUUAAAAGAUGGUCUUGCUAUCACUAAGAGAUGGUCCCGCGGUGUAUUAGUUAGUUGGUGAGGUAAUGGCUCACCAAGACAAUGAUACAUAGCCGAGUUGAGAGACUGACCGGCCACAAUGGGACUGAGACACGGCCCAUACUCCUACGGGAGGCAGCAGUAGGAAUCUUCCACAAUAGGACGAAAGUCUGAUGGAGCGAAACGCCGGCGU
rnacentral:rRNA from 1 species